rnacentral:rRNA from 1 species
AACGAACGCUGGCGGCAGGCUUAACACAUGCAAGUCGAACGCGUCCUUCGGGGCGAGUGGCAGACGGGUGAGUAACGCGUGGGAACCUACCUUUUGGUACGGAAUAACUCAGGGAAACUUGAGCUAAUACCGUAUGUGCCCUUAUCCUUGAUCGGGUUUGGGGAAAGAUUCAUCGCCAAAGGAUGGGCCCGCGUCGGCUUAGCUCGUUGGUGGGGUAACGGCCUACCAAGGCGACGAUCCGUAGCUGGUCUGAGAGGAUGAUCAGCCACACUGGGACUGAGACACGGCCCAGACUCCUACGGGAGGCAGCAGUGGGGAAUAUUGGACAAUGGGGGCAACCCUGAUCCAGCCAUGCCGCGUGAGUGAUGAAGGCCUUAGGGUUGUAAAGCUCUUUCGCCGGUGAAGAUAAUGACGGUAACCGGAGAAGAAGCCCCGGCUAACUUCGUGCCAGCCGCCGCAGUAACAC